AUUGAACGCUGGCGGCAGGCUUAACACAUGCAAGUCGAGCGAGCGGCGGACGGGUGAGUAAUGUCUGGGAAACUGCCUGAUGGAGGGGGAUAACUACUGGAAACGGUCGCUAAUACCGCAUAAACUCAGAUGUGACCAGAUGGGAUUGGCGAGUAGGUGGGGGAAUGGCUCACCUAGGCGACGAUCCCUAGCUGGUCUGAGAGGAUGAACAGCCAAACUGGAACUGAGACACGGUCCAGACUCCUACGGGAGGCAGCAGUGGGGAAUAUUGAACAAUGGGCGCAAUCCUGAUGCAGCCAUGCCGCGUGUGUGAAGAAGGCCUUCGGGUUGUAAAGCACUUUCAGCGAGGAGGCGUUACUCGCAGAAGAAGCACCGGCUAACUCCGUGCCAGCAGCCGCGGUAAUAC
rnacentral:rRNA from 1 species